AUUAUGUUGGAUUUUUGUAUUAUACUCUCUUAUCAUAUUCUGGGAAUUUAAUUUGAUAUUUUCCCUUGCAAAAUUGUAAAUUUUGUUCAUUUUCUCUGAUAAAUUUUGUAUAUAAUCUGAAAUGUUGCAUCUUUCAGGGUCAGGUCUCCCAAGUACUAGAUCAAUAGGGAGUGCAACUUGUUGACCAAAGACCAUCUCAUUUGGGCUCACCCCUGUGGAUUCAUGUACUGAGGAUCUAUAAGCCAACAUGAGUAAAGGAUCUUGAGAAGUAGAUGGUAAAGAAGUUUCAUGAUUUCCAGAGCGAGUGACAAUCUGGCAUGAUUCAGACUGAUGGGUCACUGAUGCCUGUUUGGGAGAAGAUACAGCAUGGUCAUCUCUGGAUAACCUGGGUGAUCCCAUACAAGAUCUGGGAUUAAAAACUAUUUCUCCAGAGUCUUCUAAGUCACUGUUAUUUUGGGACAUUUUUUUAUUAAAUCUUUUACGAAAAAUUUUCAAUUU